rnacentral:tRNA from 1 species
GGGCGAUUAGCUCAGGGGGAGAGCGCUUCCUUCACACGGAAGAGGUCGUGGGUUCAAAUCCCUCAUCGCCCA